rnacentral:lncRNA from 1 species
AUGAUAACAUUCCAACUCAAAAUAUCAAUUAUAAGAAAAUAGUCUAAUAGGGAAAAAUAGUAAUAAAAAGUAGUGAAGAAUAUUAAAAACAUAGUAAAAAAUAAAACACAAUAGGUUAUACCUCUCAGCUGCAUUUAGCAUUUGAGAACAUUUAGAAUAUCAAAGUCUAUGGAUUACUCUUAGAAAGAUCCCCACCUACUAUUGGCUCUAAAUUCCAUCUGAUAUGUAUUGCAGAAUUGGGGAACUGCACAGCAACUUUCCAUCCUCUACCUCUUCAUUCCCCACUUCCCUUAUUAUUCUGGCUACAUGGAGAGAGUAUUGACUUCUGUUCCAAGCAUAUGUCUUUCUUAGUGGGACUCCCCUUCUAGACCCUAGGGACCUUGAGCAACUAGUUUGUGUGCCAGCAGUUCUGUAUUUUUGGAUGAUGAAAAUUGAUUUUCCUCCUUUUAGCAGGUGCAGUCUCCGAGUGAGCCUCUCCCCUCAUGACCUGUGCAGAUUAUGCCAUCAAUAGUGGGAGAGGGGAUGAGGACGAACAUUUGGAGCCCUCAGCACACAGCUCCAAGGGGCCUGGUGAAGCCUUGCAGCAAUGAGGGUGCACUAGAAUAAAAGCGUCAAGACAAAGACCUGUGGCCUCGUCAAAGUUUGUUGAAGCAAAUGUUUCAGGUUGCCCCUCAAGUUCCAGGACGGGUAUCUUUUUAAGUAUCGACACCAAGAUUGGAGGCAGAAACGUGCAGGGAAAGCAUGGGAUUAAAAGGCAAGUGAUUCCAUUCUUGCCCUUACUCUGUGGUUGUCCACUGUGGCCUUGAAGAGUUUUUUCUGUGGCCAUCUCUGCAUUCCUUAAACCUUCAUUGUCUUAUAAGGUAGAUAUAAUUAUUGCCAUACUUCUCAAUUUGAUCUUGUUUUUCCUACUUUUUACCUAAAGAUCAAACUGUGAUCAAUUCUUCUUACCAAGGAAAACUCUGGGCAAAAUGUAAAGAUGGCAAAAUAAUGUCUUUGUGGUUCCUAAGACUUUCUUUCUAGUUCCUUUUUCUCUCCCAUGGCUCCUUCCUCCCUCUGCAUUUCUUCAUUCACCCCCA